GGGAGCUUAGAUGUGGAAGCUCUUUGGAAACCAAGAAACACUCUGAAAAUGAAAAGGAUACCAACUUCAUCUCUCUUUAAGAAUACAAUAUUAGUUUAAAAGAUUGUUCAACUUAAAGCAAUCUUGUAGAGAUUGUCACCCAUGAUUGAUGCUGGGUGGAAGAGUAAACUGUUCCUGUUUCUCCAUCUUGACAGGAAGCAGAAGUUCUCCUUAGCUGAUUUUUCUUCUUGCCUUAUACUGGGUUCUUUAACACCAGAACAAAAAUAAAUAAAUAAAAGAAUCUUCCAGAAAUUCAUGAAGAGACUUCAGGUCAGGAAAGCCUGAACUUUCUCAUCCAACACCCGUUCAAGUCGGAGGAUGCUGAUUAAUUCAUGAUGGAAAGGUAUCAAUUUCACAGCCCAGACCUCUACAUUCUUGAAAUGCUCUUCUCAUGGGAGACAUUAAAUAAGCUUUGAAUUAACUGAAUGUACAGGGUGUACCAUGAACAAUUCUGACAUGUGAUUUAAUCUAUGUGGGACUACAUUUUAAAUACAUUUGGGAAGGAUUGAACAAUGAAGUGGAGCCCAUCAAUAUUGGUACUGAAAAUGAGACAUGCCAUGACACCCAGGAUGCAGCUGUAGGAACACCACUGGGUCCCUGGAUGUCAUGUAAGCCCUUAAGUAAAAGUGCCAUCAAAUGAUUUCUCAGAAAUUAUAAAGAAACAAAAGGACCAUAAACAAGAUAAGGUGGCAUGAGGAAACAUUACAAGUACCUUUCAGAGCUGACUGGCAAAGAAACUCCUGAGGUGACGGUUCUACCCCAAUAUUACUUCUUCGAAGAGCAACCUAACUGACCUUGUAUUGAAGACAGCGUAACCCCCAAGAGGAAAGGAGCUUGGAGCCCUGAAUCAGAGUAGAAGACAGGCUGAAUGAAUACCAGCCUUGGACUGUUGUGUGAAUGAAAAACAAGUUUUGAGAUUUGUGUGGUUUAUUUAUUAUAGUUACUGUUAUUAUUAAAGUUUUUCACUGC
rnacentral:lncRNA from 1 species